UAAAUCUCGUUUGUGAUUUGGUUUUUAAAUAAGAAUCCCUCUUGUCUAUUUGAAUAGGAAAGUGCAUUAAAAGUACAUCUACUGUACAUGGCAAGAAAUCUCUCCCCUCAUAGGCCGAGGGCUCUAUAUAUUCAGAGUCUACGUUUCACUUCAGUCUUCGUGACUCUCUCUCUCUCUCUCUCUCUCUCUCUCUCUCUCUCUCUCUCUCAUGAGUUUUUCUUUUCUCUGUAAAUACGAUGUUUCAGUGUUCCAUGGAGAUGCAAAAGAAGAAGGUUUUGGCUUGGACGUGAGGCUUGAAGUGAAAGGUACGUUUACAGCGUAUAGUCCAGUUAUAUCAGAUACACUGUUGGAAAUUGGAAGGCCUAUGGAGUACAUGGUGCUUAAUUUUCUCUGCAGGUUGACAGUGACUGCUAAAUUUGUUGGCCAAUGUAUCAAAGCCAGAAAGAAAGGACUGAAAUGAGAUGGGAACUUUUCUUUUUGGUCCACAUGCACCACCAGAGCUUUAAGGAUCCGAUUCCCAUUCGUAUAUGUACCAAAUUUCUACUGUGGCCGCUGCUAAAGAUCAAUUUCCUCUGACCUAAAAAAGAAGGCUUUGAUAGACGUACACUUUUCCUGUGCAUGAUUUGAAUUAUAUAUUCUAGGAGAUCAUUGAAAGAAAUAAUAUCCCUAUUGUUUUUAAUUCUUCUUGACCAAGAGUUUUGUUAUUGUGAAUUAUGGGAAAUGUGAUAUGGAUAUCCGAGCUUUGCCAAGAAAUAUUCGUGGGGAUCAUCUCAAACAGUUCUCUUCUCAUCAUCUCAAACAGUUCUCUUCUCCCAUUGAAGUAGUUCUUCUUUCUUUUCAAUUCUAGCUAGGGGAAUCUUCCCAAUUGUGGUACGAUCUAAGUAUAUAUGAUAAUGAGUACGGUUAUAGGGUUUGAGGUUAUUGUAUUCUCAACUUUGAGAAACUAUUCGUGCAAUAUAAAUCAUGAUAGAAAA